ACUGGCAGAUUAAUUGAUAAUGAAAAUAAUCUUUAGUUGCAGCUCUACUGCAAUAAAAAAUCCCUGGGUCUCUUGUCUAAUGAUUUGGUUUCCAGUAAAACAUGUCUGAACAAGUUUCUAAUUUCUGUCAACAAUCAUUGCACACAAUUACUAUGUUUUUUAUAAAGUAUGAUACAGGUGCACAAGUAACUCAUAGGCUAUAUUUAUAACUUACGUUUCCCCUUCUUUUUUCACUGUAUUUUUUUGCAGGCCAAUACUAUAAGCCCCUCCCAUACAUAUGGAUGGGGGUUAUCGCCCUUUUUUGCUGUCUCCUGUUUUCUGAAACUUAUGGGAAGGCGUUGCCAGAGACCAUAUCACAAAUGCAGCUAAUAUGCAGAAGAAGAGGAAAAAAAGAAAAGGAAGCUGAUAUUGGAGAGACCACAGCUGAUUAUCAGAGCAAAGAAUCCAAGUCAUAGUGUCAAGUUGAUUGACAUUUUUAAGGCAUUUUAUGUACAGUACCUUAUUGCUU